CGGGUAGAUGGCCCUGUAAGUUAGUAGUGAAAUCCACAGGCUUAACCUGUGUGCUGCUAUUAAUACUGCAGGGAUCGAGAAAAAAAGAGGAAAAUGGAAUUUCUAGUGGAGAGGUAAAAUUCGUUGAUAUUAGAAGGAACACCAGAGGCGAAGGCGAUUUUCUAUUUUUUUCUGACAUUGAGCCGCGAAAGCGUGGGGAGCAAACA
rnacentral:rRNA from 1 species